GCAAACUUGGUCAUUUAGAGGAAGUAAAAGUCGUAACAAGGUCUCCGUAGGUGAACCUGCGGAGGGAUCAUUAUCGAACGGCCCCCUGGGCCUUCAAACCCUCAAACCGAAGUGGACCUUUUGAACCCCCCGUGCUUCGGCGUCGCCUCGUGGCGGCGUCGCUUUUAUGCAUAGAGUCUGAUGUCGUCUGAUUGCUUUGAAGAUUGAAAACUUUCAACAAAGGAUCUCUUGGCUCUCGCAUCGAUGAAGAACGCAGC
rnacentral:misc_RNA from 1 species